rnacentral:lncRNA from 1 species
CAAGAGGCAUUGGACUACUAUUAGAAAGGGUUUAGACUGAAAUAAACUCCUAAUAGGCCCACCUAAACACCAAGUCAAACAAGUUGGACGAUCAUUUAGCACAUAAAAUCUCAAGUUGUCCUCUAGAUUUUAUUAUUAGCAUGCUAGCAAACACACGUAAUUGUGAAAAGAUCGCAUGCAAAGUGUAUGGACAUACAAACAAGCAACAUAACGACAGUAACAAGUUGAACAAGCAGAAUUAUUAACAGACAUUUUUAGCAUGCAGAUAGUUAUUUAACUGAUUUUAGAGGACAAAAAUAUUAUUAUAUGCAGAGAAUAAUUUAUUAAUUAAUUAUUAAAAGGUGGUAAAAGUAUUCACAGAUGCAGAAAUAGGUUAGAGCAGUAGCAGAUUUUAUCAUUAAUUUAGAAAGUUAUUUUGAGCGGUCGGUUUAGAAUGCUGAAAUUAAUCAGUUUAUUAGCAAGAUUUAAUCCGGACAAGAAGAUAGCAAAUGCAGCAAACUUAGUAGCUGAUUUUAAGUGGCAAUAUAAUUAAUUACGAUGCAGAAAAUUAAUUAUUAGGCAUGAACUGAUCACGGGCAAAUCAUAUGUUUUAAAACAGAAUUUAGCAUGCUGGAAGUAAUUGAUUGAUUUUAUUUAACUAGCAGAAAAUGAGCAUGUUGAAAAAAAUUACUUUAGCAAAUGGGCAGAAAAUAAUUAUUUUGCAGAAAUCAUUCGACAAUGAGCAGAAAUAUACAACAGAUCUAUUCAUAUUAUUUUAUAUGCUGGAAUAUUAUUUAUUCAGUCUUAGGUAUGAUUUCUGAGCGAAAUGCUGAGAUUGAUUACUGAUCCUAAGCAUACUUACUAUGUGAAGAUGUAUUUAUCCAGAAACCUAUAGGCAUGAUUGACAUAUAAAAUCAAACUAAUCUUUAUGAGCGUGAUUUCUAAAUGCAAACUCAUUUAAAAUUAUGGUAACAUUCAGAAAAAAACCUAUAGACAAGAUUUUCUAAAUGCAAACAUGCUUAGAAUUUAUGAUAUUCAAGAAAGCCUAUAUGCAUGAAUUCUACAAACAUUACUUGACUUACAUACUGAAAUUGGAUUGAGAUUAUUUCUAGAGAGAUGGUAGAUUUAAGUUUCUAAACAUGUUAUCAAAUAAUUGAGAUUAACCUGUUAAUUGUUAAUGUAAUAAAAAUCAUCAAACACUUAUACAAAUUCUUAAGGGCCCAAUUUAUUAACAUGCUAAGGUAAUAAGUCCAAAUCUAAACACUAGAUUGGUUUUUCUAAAUAAAUGUUCAAAUUAUGAAACAAGUUUUAUCACAUAACGGCUAACUUUAAUAAAGAUUGGUUUUAACAGAUUAUCUAAGGAAAUUGGUCAUAUUUGCAUGCUUCACGUGUUUUAAGCAACAAAGGCAGAUUUUAUAGCAAUCACACGUAAUAAAAUAAAUAAGUAAAAGAACAGUUAGCACGUAAUUCCCCUCCCCCUGGACGAUCCCCCAAAUUAUAUCAUAUAUAUAUAUAUAGGAGAGUUAGAGAGUUAUACAAAUAUUACAAACUGAAAUAAAUAAUAAAUAUAGAUUCAAAAUAAAUAAAAUUAAAUAAUCUAAUCUCCUGGCGACUCUUCAACUUGAACUUCAAGUUCGAAACCUGUUAACAAUACACUAAAAGUAGCAACCAUCUACAUUUAGACAGAAAUUGUAGCAGUCAAUCACACAUACGUAAAUACCCAUAGGAAAGGAAUAGGAAACUGACCCGGAUGCUUCCUUUAUUUAUUAAAAUCCAUUUUUUGGAUUUAUGCAUAAAAAAGUAACUAAAUAGUGAUGCAAAACAGAAAUUAAAUACAUGUAUGAAGAGCACCAACUGGUUAAGCAGUUAAAAAAUCUAUCAGCAAUGAAGACAAAUUGAUUCCACACUAUUCGACCCGAACACAGCAACAUGCUUCUUAAAAGUUUGCCGGAGAAUCUUUUUUAAGCAGAGAGUAAUAUAUUUUUUCUUAGUAUUUUCGUACUGGAGCCAAUUCGGAUCUCCUUUAAUAAAAGGGGAGGUCUCCUUUAUAUAGUGGAAGAGGAGGGAACAUAAUAAUGGAAGAAAAUUAUUUUAGGAUCAAUUAUUUUUCCUUAUUUCAAAGGAACCAAAUCAGAUUUUUAAUUUAUUUUAUUACCAAAAAUAAACAAGUAACAAACUGUCUAAAACUAAAUAAACCACCUAGGAUCAAUUAACAAGACCAGCAAUCGAUAUUACACAUGUUCAAUCCAAAAAGGAAGAAGUAUUAUUUUAGGAAGGACAAUAUCACAUAGCUUAAAUCAAGUUCCGAAUAUACAACUUCUCAUAUUUUACCAUAUACAAACAAAUAAUAAUUCAAAUACAACAUUAAAUAAAUUAAGGGCGAGUCACAAAUCACGAAAUUCCAUUUUCUUAUUCAUCGAAAAACCGAAUCAAUCAAGUAAUUUACCCCAGUAAGUAAAGAUUUCUUUUACCAUAUAAAAAUAUGUAAGGAGAGAUCAAGGGUAAUUUAUCAGCAAAAGGGAAGUAUUGUAAAGGAAAGACAAUAUUACUCAAAAUAAAUAAAUAGUAAUAAUCCACAUUUACCUUCAGCCACCUAAUUUGCCAUAUAUGGAGCAAGUAAAACAAUUUGACCAAAUUCAAAUUAGGAACAGAAUCAAAUAUUAAUUUUAUCACACAAGCAUGUGUAGGCAAUAUUAUUAAUCAACCGAGAAAAACAAGUAUUAAGGCAUCAAUUGCAGAGACCAAUCAGUGAUAUAGACCUUAGGCAAUUAUACCUUACCACAAUCGAACUCCUAUAAUCAAUUCGAUCACUUACCAAAUAUUCUACGCUAUAAUUAAGCUAGAUAAUCAAUUUAUUCUAAUUCUAAUUUCAACAUGGUGUAAAGUCAAUAAAGGAGUGAAGAUAUGCAAAGAUUAGUGGAUAAUAAAAUUCAGAUUAAAACCAACUGUUGACAGGAAAUCAGUGAUCUCAGAACGAUUAGCAAACUAAUACAAGUGCAGGUUCAAUAAAAAAUCCAACCAAAAGUUUAUGCAUACAUCAUGAAUGAAUUUCUAUAAUUCAAGCAUCAAGCAAUUUAAAGCAAUCAUAAGAAAUUAUAAUAAAAAAGUAGGAACAACAUAGGGUUGAGUUAGAUGAAAUAAUAAUUGAUUGAAAGAAAAUACCGGAGACGGAUCUAUUGAUAUCCGUCUUCCACCGAUCCAAAUUUCAGACUUCGCUGGAGCUCGCUUGGUCGGAGUUGUUGUUUUUUCGCAGACUGGUGCUCAUGGCUGCCGGUCGGAGUUGACUUUCGCAGCUGCUGGCAUGUUCUCUCGUCCUCGCCAGAAGAGAGAAAGAGACGACGCUGGCCGGAGCUUGCUGUUUCUGCCGGUGGAGCUUGCUGGAGUUCGCCAGACCUGGAGCUGCUGCCAGCGAUGGAGGCUCGCUGGUGGUCCUCGCCAGCUGCUGGUUCUUCCUGGAGAGAGGAGAGGAAGAGCAGCAGCGAGCGGAGAGAGAAGAGAAAGGAGAAGAGGCAAGGGGAGAGAGAGGGUCGCCGGUGAAAGAAGAGAUGGAGAAGAGAGAGGUGGUGGCGGCUAAUCUCGCCGGAGCAAAAAUGGAGAGGACCCAAAGGGGUCUGCGGCGCUGAUUAGAGAGGGAGAAAGAAGGAGAAUAAAA